UUGUUAUCCUUGAUGAGAGAAUGAUGCGGAACAGGAAUUGAGGAAAUAAUAGAGAAAUUGCCACAUGCAUGAUGUCUAAGAGACAGGGAGUUUGGUGGCCACUUUUUAUGGAAAAUUUGAAUUAGCUUUAAAUGUUAUUAUUCUCAUUAUGUUUAUUUUAUAGUUCGCAUGCAUGUUUUAAAUAUUUGCAACUCUUCAG